GUUUCAGACUAUCAGCAAAAUUGAGCAAAAAGCACUGAGAGUUCUCCCAUAGCACUUCCUUCCCCUGCUCAACCUCCGCCGACUGUCAACAUCCCCCACCAGAAGAGUACUUUACUGCUUGGUGAACAUGAACCCAUGCAGGAUUAGCAAACCCAAAGUCCAUAGUUUACAUUGGAUUCACUCCUUUUUUGUUUGUUUUGAAAUGUUUUUCAGGCUAUGUGAGGGGGUUUCCAUUGAUUUACUCUGAACACUCACUGGUUCCCUGCCUCCUCUUCGUCCUCCUCCCCUGUCCCCUCCUCUUCUGGAUUCACUCUUAGUGUAGUACAUUGUUGAGGAUUUUGAUUAGCCAUGCUUUUGCCUCUUUCCUUCCUGAAAAAUGCGGACCACUGGGAAGAUUCAAUUAAAUCAGGCAGUGGAUGUGGAGCAAGUUAUCUGCCUGGCACAGAAAAAAACUUUUAAGAGGCAGAGAGUCAGAGAGAGAGAGAGAUAAAGAGAGAGAGAUCAGUCUGCUGGUUCACUUCCUGAACGCCCUGAACAGUGUCCUAGCCCGGACUGAAGCUGGAGGAACAAUCCUGGGGGCCAUCUCUGCUGCCUCUGGGGAUCCACUGGAUUCAGGCGCUGGAGCCAGGAAUCAAACCCAGUCCCUCCCGUGUGGCAGAACACAGGCCAGGAGGCCACCUGCACAAGGAACAGAAGGCUUUCCAGAGCUGUGUGCUGAUUGAUGGCUACAUUGAGAACCUGAACCAGCUUCACAAUAACCCCUGUUUCUGUACUUCAAGCCAAUUCACAAGCCCAGGGAGACCCAUCAGGAGAACAAGGAGGAAAUCGGAGAGAGUGUCAUCCAUUUAUCCAAGAACCUACUCCUGCGGUUAAGUGUGAGAUGAAGAAACUUCUCAGCCUCAUGCUUCUAUGAAGCCUGAACAUGUGUCUGGAAAAAAGGCAACUGAGACCUCGCUUUCCCCAAGCAGUAGAAUCAGCCAAUCUCAGCAAAGCUCCAAGUUUGUCUUAAGAAUCUGGAAGGCUAAGAACCACUGCAACAACCCACAUGUUAGCUGGUGCUGUGGCGCAGCGGGUUAAAGCCCUGGUCUGAAGCACCAGCAUCCCAUAUGGGCGCUGGUUCUAGUCCCGGCUGCUCCACUUCUGAUCCAGCUCCAUGCUAUGGCCUGGGAAAGCAGUGGAAGAUGGCCCAAGUCCUUGGGCCCCUGCACCCGAGUGGGAGACCCAGAAGAAGCUCUUGGCUCCUGGCUUCAGAUCAGCAUAGCUCCAGCUGCUGCAGCCAUCUGGGAAGUGAACCAUCGGAUGGAAGACCUCUCUCUCUGUCUCCUCUCUCUCUAUAACUCUGUCUUUCAAAUAAAUAAAAUAAAUCUUAAAAAAAAAAAGAUUCCCUUCUUUAAAACAGAAAGAAAUUAUGGAACUAAACAAUGCAACACCUGGGAACUUAACCUAGUAGCAUAGAAUCACAGACAUGACACAUAGGAAGCACUCAGUAAGUGUCUUUUUGAAUUGAAUUGCAUUACGCUGGCUUGGCAAUCCUGACUGAGACCCAUUAGAUCUCUAUGCUGAAAGUAGGGAAAAUUUUCUUUGCAUACAAGCACAAGUCUGCCUGCCUUGACUUAAUCUCCCACAAGGAUCUGGAUGUCUGAUUUGUAAAGUUCAUCAAGCCCUUGGAAGAAAAGGUGAAAAGGUAGAGCUUUUAGACACUGGCAAAACAAACAUCACUGCUCCCAAUGGUUUCCUCCAUGGCUGAUCCUUUAUAUUCCGACAGUAUUUUCCCUGUACAUCUCACUUAGAAUCUCAAUUAAAGAGCUUUGUGGGGCUGGCACUGUGGCAGAGUGAGUAAAGCUGUUGCCUGUAGUGCUGGCAUCCCAUAUCAGCACCAGUUCGAGUCCUGGCUGCUUCACUUCC